AAUUUUUAUACGACCGCAAAAAUUAAAAAUUUUUUGGUCGUAUAUUGGUAUGACGUUGGCGUCGUCGUCGUCCGGCGUCGUCGUCGUCGUCGUCGUCGUCGUCGUCGUCGUCGUCUGGCGUCGUCCGGCGUCGUCCGAAGACACAUUGGUUUUCGCACUCUAACUUUAGUUUAAGUGAAUGGAUCUCCAUGAAAUUUUACCAUAAGGUUCAAUACCACAAAAGGAAGGUUGGGAUUGAUUUUGGGGGUUAUGGUACCAACAGUUAAGGAAUUAGGGGCCAAAAAGGGGCCAAAAAUAAGCAUUUUUGUAACUUCCAGACAAUAACUUGUGUGUAAGUGUAUGGAUCUCUCUGACAUUGUACCACAAGGUUCCAUAUCACAAAGGAAAGGCUGUAAUUGAUUUUGGGGGUAAUUGCCUCAAAAUUUUAGGAAUUAGGGGCCAAAAAAGGGGCAAAAAACAAGCAUUUUUCUAGUUUCAUGACAAUAACUUGUGUGUAAGUGUUUGGAUAUUUCUGAAAUUGUACUACAAGGUUCCAUAUCACAAAGGGAAAGCUGGAAUUGAGUUUGGGGGUAAUUGCCCGAAACGUUUAGGAAUUGGGGGCCAAAAAGGGGCCAAAAAUAAGCAUUUUUCUAGUUUCCAGACAAUAACUUGUGUUCAAGUGUAUGGAUCUCUCUGAAAUUGUACUGCAAGGUACCAUACCACAAAGGGAAGGCUGGGAUUGAGUUUGGGGGUGAUGAAUCAUAAGGGGGUUCAAAAAAUUUGGGGGGGGAUUUUUUUUUUUUCUUUUUUUUUCUUUUUUUCCUUUUUUUUUUUCUUUUAAAAUUUUCCAUUUUAAGUUGGUUAUUUCUGAUUAAUAUUUAAAAGCAAAUAAUAAUGAUAUGGUAGGAGAUACACACCAAACAGGAUGUGUAAAUUAUUAUCUAAUAAGUAUUGUGCAAUAGCAAGAAAUUUUCAAUUGCACAGUAUUGCACAAUAGCAAGAAAUCUUCAAUUGCACAGUAUUGCGCAAUAGCAAGAAAUCUUCAAUUGCACAGUAUUGCGCAAUAGCAAGAAAUCUUCAAUUGCACAGUAUUGCGCAAUAGCAAGAAAUAUCCAAUAGCACAAUAUUGCGCAAUAGCAAGAAAUUGUCAAUUGUACAGUAUUGCACAAUAGCAAGAAAUAUUCAAUUGCACAGUAUUGUGCAAAAGAAGAUACUUCGUAUAAAUUGCUUAUUUCUUGAUCAAUUUCAAUGGGGUUUUAUUCUUGAAUUCUUGGGGUUCUUUAAUAUGCUGAAUCUAACCGUGUAUUAAGUUUUUGGAUUUUGGGCCCCGUUUUUAAAUUGGUCCACAUUGAGGUCCAAAGGGUCCAAAAUUUAACUUUGUUUGAUUUCAUCAAAAAUUGAAUUAUUGGGGUUCUUUGAUAUGCUGAAUCUAACCGUGUAUUUAGAUUCUUAAUUUUUGGUUCCAUUUUCAAAUUGGUCUACAUUAAGGUCCAAAGGGUCCAAAAUUAAACUUAGUUUGAUUUUAACAAAAAUUGAAUUUUUAGGGUUCUUUGAUAUGCUGAAUCUAAACAUGUAUUUAGAUUUUUGAUUAUGGGCCCAGUUUUCAAGUUGGUCCAAAUCGGGGUCCAAAAUUAAACUUUGUUUGAUUUCAACAAAAAUUGAAUAUAUGGGGUUCUUUGAUAUGCUGAAUCUAACCAUGUAUUUAGAUUUUUGAUUUUUGGGCCCUGUUAUCAACUUUGUCCACAUUGAGGUCAAAAGGGUCCAAAAUUUAACUUUGUUUGAUUUCAUCAAAAAUUGAAUUAUUGGGGUUCUUUGAUAUGCCGAAUCUAACCGUGUAUUUAGAUUCUUAAUUUUUGGUUCCGUUUUCAAAUUGGUCUACAUUAAGGUCCAAAGGGUCCAAAAUUAAACUUAGUUUGAUUUUAACAAAAAUUGAAUUUUUAGGUUUCUUUGAUAUGCUGAAUCUAAACAUGUAUUUAGAUUUUUGAUUAUGGGCCCAGUUUUCAAGUUGGUCCAAAUCGGGGUCCAAAAUUAAACUUUGUUUGAUUUCAACAAAAAUUGAAUAUAUGGGGUUCUUUGAUAUGCUGAAUCUAACCAUGUAUUUAGAUUUUUGAUUUUUGGGCCCUGUUAUCAACUUUGUCCACAUUGAGGUCAAAAGGGUCCAAAAUUUAACUUUGUUUGAUUUCAUCAAAAAUUGAAUUAUUGGGGUUCUUUGAUAUGCUGAAUCUAACCGUGUAUUUUUAUUCUUAAUUUUUGGUUCCGUUUUCAAAUUGGUCUACAUUAAGGUCCAAAGGGUCCAAAAUAAAACUUAGUUUGAUUUUAACAAAAAUUAAAUUUUUAGGGUUCUUUGAUAUGCUGAAUCUAAACAUUUAUUUAGAUUUUUGAUUAUGGGCCCAGUUUUCAAGUUGGUCCAAAUCGGGGUCCAAAAUUAAACUUUGUUUGAUUUCAACAAAAAUUGAAUAUAUGGGGUUCUUUGAUAUGCUGAAUCUAACCAUGUAUUUAGAUUUUUGAUUUUUGGGCCCUGUUAUCAACUUUGUCCACAUUGAGGUCAAAAGGGUCCAAAAUUUAACUUUGUUUGAUUUCAUCAAAAAUUGAAUUAUUGGGGUUCUUUGAUAUGCCGAAUCUAACCGUGUAUUUAGAUUCUUAAUUUUUGGUUCCGUUUUCAAAUUGGUCUACAUUAAGGUCCAAAGGGUCCAAAAUUAAACUUAGUUUGAUUUUAACAAAAAUUGAAUUUUUAGGGUUCUUUGAUAUGCUGAAUCUAAACAUUUAUUUAGAUUUUUGAUUAUGGGCCCAGUUUUCAAGUUGGUCCAAAUCGGGGUCCAAAAUUAAACUUUGUUUGAUUUCAACAAAAAUUGAAUAUAUGGGGUUCUUUGAUAUGCUGAAUCUAACCAUGUAUUUAGAUUUUUGAUUUUUGGGCCCUGUUAUCAACUUUGUCCACAUUGAGGUCAAAAGGGUCCAAAAUUUAACUUUGUUUGAUUUCAUCAAAAAUUGAAUUAUUGGGGUUCUUUGAUAUGCCGAAUCUAACCGUGUAUUUAGAUUCUUAAUUUUUGGUUCCGUUUUCAAAUUGGUCUACAUUAAGGUCCAAAGGGUCCAAAAUUAAACUUAGUUUGAUUUUAACAAAAAUUGAAUUUUUAGGGUUCUUUGAUAUGCUGAAUCUAAACAUGUAUUUAGAUUUUUGAUUAUGGGCCCAGUUUUCAAGUUGGUCCAAAUCGGGGUCCAAAAUUAAACUUUGUUUGAUUUCAUAAAAAAUUGAAUUCUUGGGGUUCUUUGAUAUGCUGAAUCUAACCAUGUAUUUAGAUUUUGGAUAUUGGAACAUAAUAGGUGAAUGUCCAAUUUAAAAUUUUUAAGUUCUUAGACCACAUUCAUUCUGUGUCAGAAACCUAUGCUGUGUCAAAUAUUUAAUCACAAUCCAAAUUCAGAGCUGUAUCAAGCUUGAAUGUUAUGUCCAUACUUGCCCCAACUGUUCAGGGUUCGACCUCUGCGGUCGUAUCAAGCUGCGCCCUGCGGAGCAUUUUAU